AGAUGAACCAGGGCCAACGGAGGAAGGCUGCCUGCUGACAGCUGCCAUUUCCACAGACUCACUGGGCCAAAGUGAUAGCCAACACUGAGAAGAAGAAUCCAGUGUCCAGAUUUUUCAAAGGGCUGCAGAAGUCUUGUUCUGCUGGAUAUAUAUUUUUAAGUUAGAGCUUGUUGAACAACAGAAGAUUAUAGGACCAGCCAGAGACUCAAGGAGAGCCAAUGGGGGUAUUAUGUUUUUGGAUUUAGCUAACCACUGACUGGAGGAACUGAGACAGCAUACAGUGGCAAAGCCUUUGACAAAUAUUCAGUCGGCACUACCUUCACAGAAAUCAUGCACGGAGAUGCCAUGGCAACUGCCGCAUUCUGCACAGUCACACACGAAAUCAACACGCUUAAAUAACUGUAACUCACGCCCACGGAAUGGAAACAAUGUGAGAGUGGCAAGUGCAAAAGCCAAAGCCUGAAGGAGAAAUAAACAGUUGAGCACAAGUCUGCAUCCAUUCUCCAUCAACUGAGUUCUUUGGGUUCUUAUUAAGUGAAUCUCACCUCAGUUGUAUGCUACUCAAAUGAGGCCUUUAUUGUCAAUAAAACAGAAUUUGUAGAACA
rnacentral:lncRNA from 1 species